ACCUGGAAGGAGACAGAACAAGGAUUCCUAAAGAAGGAAGAUCAGGGCUUAAUUUCUAAGAUUAGAAGUGCCGGAGCCCUAUGGAAGACUGUCAGCAAAGAGGAACAAGAGCAAAUAAACAGCAGAGAGGAUCAGAAGCGUCUUGUCAAGAGGAAAGCUUAAGCGAAAAAGGUCAGAUUGUCGCAGUUCUUCAGAGAAAGAAGGGAAGGAGUCGAAAGGUUUCAGUUCCGAAAUUAAAUUAAAAAUAAAAGAGUGACAAUGACAGUGCAGCUGUGCUGGCGAGAACAACGGAGACCUUCAGACUAUCAACUGAUGAUCCAACUCCUGUUCGAACAUCGAAGCCUUUAUCAUUCACGUUAAGAUAGACUUCUAAAACCAACGGAAGAGACUGUUUCACUGUUGAUUGAAUUUUACCAAUAAGUUGUUUAAAACUCGAAGAGGAGAAUAUAGCCUCAACGCAAACAGAAAGAACAGACAUUUUUGUUUAUUAACAAUGGCAACAGUAGCUCAGUUGUUUAAAAAGAACAGACAUUUGACGUCGGCUGUAAUUCUUUUUAGUAUGGUCAGUGACUUUGUCUAAAUAUGCUGUGUUUUUAGCUACAUUUCUUUUUGUGUGCGUCAUAAGAUGAGAAAUAAAAAUGAUUUCUACAAAAAU